rnacentral:rRNA from 1 species
UAAUACCCAAAAUCUGACACAGGGAGGUAGUGACAAGAAAUAACAAUACAGGGCAAUUGUCUUGUAAUUGGAAUGAUGGUGACGUAAAAUCUCACCAGAGUAACAAUUGGAGGGCAAGUCUGGUGCCAGCAGCCGCGGUAAUUCCAGCUCCAAUAGCGUAUAUUAAACUUGUUGCAGUUAAAAAGCUCGUAGUUGAAUUUCUGCGUUGCCCGACUCGGCUACUUGCCUUGUCUGGUUUCGCUUUUGGGGUUUUCCCCUUUUUACUUUGAGAAAAUUAGAGUGUUUCAAGCAGACUUGUGUCUUGAAUACUUCAGCAUGGAAUAAUAAAGUAGGACUUUGGUUCUAUUUUGUUGGUUUGUGAACCUUAGUAAAAGUUAAUAGGAACGGUUGGGGGCAUCCGUAUUUAAA